rnacentral:lncRNA from 1 species
GUUAUUAGCCAGUCGUUUACUGGAUGGUACAGCACUGUUGCGCCUUGGGGGCGUCGGGGUGAUCGUCGGGGACGAUGAGCACCGCCUUCCACGGGCACGGCGCCUGACCGGGGUUGAGCUUCUCGACGGUGGCGGCGGCGGUGACGCAGUACUUGGGGACGUCGAGGUUGAACUUGCCGGCCGCCCACGCGUCGACGAUGAAGCGCUGGUCGUCGGCGUUGGGCUCGAGGGUCAUGCCGUCGAUGAAGUUGAGGUACACGACCUUCUCGGUGUGCUUGCCGACGUGGUUCUCGACAACGCCACCCGCCUUCUCGACGGUCUUGGAACCGUCCUCGGCGGAGAACUUGGGCUUGGACUCGUUGACCAUGCCCUCGUCGGCGAACUUGUCGUUGAGCCAGAGCUUGCAGAAGCCGCAGCCGAGGAUGCCGCCCUCGUCGCCGUGAACGGUCGGAACGUGGCCGGCGGCCUUGACCUCCUGGCAGAUGGCCUCGAGCUCCUUGGUGGUCUUGAUGCCGCGGUUGACGGCGAUGCCGUAGACGCCGCCGAGCAUCUUGGGGCCGCGCUGCUGGUCACCCUUGGCGUCGGAGCCGCGACCGUCGACGCACUUGAGGAAGCCGUUGGGGGAGACCUUCACGAGCUGGUAAGCGUUCCUGGACUGGGUCUGGAUCUCCGCGGACCAGCCGCGGCCCUGGAGCGCGCCGACAAUCUCGGCGGGGCCGAAGCGGGGCUCGGCGGGGGUGACGAUGUACGCCUUCCAGGGGCAGGGCUUCUGGCCGGGGUUGAGCUUCUCGACGGUGGCGGCGGCGGUGAGGGCGUACUUGGUGAUGUCGAGGUUGAACUUGCCGAGGGCCCAGCAGUCGACGAUGAAGCGCUGGUCCUUGCCGUUGGGGACGAAGGUCUUGCCGGGGACGAAGUUGAGGAUCACGUACUUCUCGGUGUGCUUGGCGACGUGGUUCUCGACGACGCCGCCCGCGGCCUUGACGCAGGCGGCGCCCUGGUCGGCGGUGAAGUCGGGAGGGGCAGUGGCGACGCCGCCCUCGUCGGUGAACUUACCGUUCA